GUGAAGACGUGGAGUUGGGCAGGAGUGCAGAUGGUGCCCACAUGGCACAGACCCGGGCUGGCAGUGGUACUGGGAGCGUGCAAAAUGCACCUGGCCCUCUUGACAAUGCCAAAUGCCAUAUAUACUGCAAGGAAGCCACUGUCGCACAGACAAAGGCCACGGGUCCAGGCACUGACAUGUCAAUGCCAGAAGAUAUGUACAUAAUCCAGACUUGGAACAGCAGUGGAAGGCUGCCCCUACAAAAUGCCCAGUUCUUUAUGGGAACAGGUCAUGGCCCGUGGCCACUGGCAGCCGGCUGUUUCCUGUGGUUGCCUGUGCCUGAGGUACACCCCAAAUUUGAAGAAAGAAAGAAAGAAAGAAAGAAAGAAAAUCCCGUAAAUUUUUUAGUUUAAAAUCAAAGUUCUUCCACAAGCUGAAAUAAAUUUAACAGGAAUUAAACAAAAAACGAGCUGUACCAUAAAACCCUAAUAUACCUGUAAAAAAAAAAUUAUGUGAAUGUCAGUUUACAGUUUUUCACUAUAAAUUAUAAGAUGACCUGUUCUUUUACAUUUAGUUCUAUUACAAUGUUUCACUGUAUAUACAGAAAUAGGGAAACUUACCAUUAACCAAUUAAUGUGUAAAAAUUCAGCUUUUUUGCAGUCUGUAAAAUUACAGAAUUUUUGUAGUGUACAAUGGUUUUGUAAAUGCAGUAAAUGGGAUGAGGUUUUACUUGACACAUAAUCUGAUGACUGCAUGACCUUAUCACUUCUCCUCAGGGAUGAUUAGUUGCACAGAUGUGUCUGAAUGACUUUGUGUAUUAUUAAAGGGAGAGGUAUAUUAAUUAAGACGUUUAUUAUUCACUACGGCACACAAUUUAGCAUAGGGAGAGACUGAGAUCUCAGUAGGUAGCAAAGAACAAGAGGCCAAUUAAACUGCCAGGUUUGAUACAAGUCCAAAUAGUAGAUUGAACAUUUAUAGCAAGCAGUGAUUUGUUUGGACUUUUAAUUGACAGGUCAUGCUUGUUAUUAUUAUCACUGUUUAUUCUUAACCUUUUUUCUCUAUACAUGUGGUGCCACAUGUUGCUUAAGACAAGGGGCGAUUACUUUCAAGAGUUUGAAGAAACUUUUCUGCUUUGUGACCGGCCCCAAAGUGCAUUUACAUGAACAGCGUGCUUUAAAAGCAGGCUGUGUGCUGUUGCUUGGCUACACAGGUUUCUUGGUAUUGGGAAAUUACAUUUUUCAUCUAGAGCUAUUAGGGAAACCAUUAUUUCAUCAUAUAGGCAUAAUUUUGGACUGGACAAUUGUCCUUGUUGAAUUUCUCAGUCUUAAAUUAUUUAUUUGGUCGGAAGGGAUGAGAUUUUCGAUACUGCUGAAAAAUCUAAAAUGAAACUGCUUCAGGCUCUGGGCUGCUGUUCUGCUGUUUAGGUAUAGUGCAAAGGAAUGAUAGAAUCGUGGUGCUAGAAAAGAGAAGAGAUACGAAAAAGAACCUUUCCAGUAAAGAGUUGAAUAAGUUCUUGUUUUCAGCUUCUUAAUUAUGUGUUGACCAGCAGGCAGAUAAGGAAGUGUAUCAUCACCAUAUUGAAAUUAUUGUCAAGAAGUUGCUAAGCUACAACCACUGCCAAAAACAGAAAAGAUUAUUGAUAGCACAUUACACAAAUAGUUUAUUGUCUUGAAAAGUUUUGUCUUAAAGAAAUAGUACACCCAAAACUGGCAAUUUGAUGAACAUUUACUUCUUUAUACCAGGAUAGAUCAGUUUAUUUCUUCAUCAUCUGAACAGAUUUGGAGAAAUGUAGCAUUACAUCACUUGGCUCACCAGUGGAUCCUCUGCAGUGAAUGGGUGCCGUCAGAUUGAGAGUCCAAACACCUGAUAAAAACAUCACAAUAAUCCACAAGACUCGAUUCUUUCACUUAACUUAACUUCUUGAGAAGUAAAAAUGGUCCAAAACAGUUUUAAACUAAUAUGUGGAUUUUUACGUGAGAGGGC
ensembl:lncRNA